GCAACAGCUCAAAUUUGAAAUCUGGCGCAAGCCCGAGUUGUAAUUUGCAGAGGAUGUUUCGGGUGAAGCCACGGUCCAAGUCCCUUGGAACAGGACGUCAUAGAGGGUGAGAACCCCGUACCUGGCCGUCGGUGCCCCCCGCUGUGAAACUCCUUCGACGAGUCGAGUUGUUUGGGAAUGCAGCUCUAAAUUGGUGGUAAAUUCCAUCUAAAGCUAAAUACCGGCCAGAGACCGAUAGCGCACAAGUAGAGUGAUCGAAAGAUGAAAAGCACUUUGAAAAGAGAGUUAAAAAGUACGUGAAAUUGUUGAAAGGGAAGCGCUUGCGGCCAGACUUGCCCGCGGUUGCUCAGCCCGCCUUUUGGCGGGUGCACUCUUCCGCGGUCAGGCCAGCAUCGGUUUGGGCGGCCGGACAAAGGCGUCGGGAACGUGGCCUCCCCUCGGGGAGGUGUUAUAGCCCGGCGCGCAAUGCGACCAGCCCGGACCGAGGUUCGCGCUUUGCUAGGAUGCUGGCGUAAUGGCCGUAAGCGGCCCGUCUUGAAACACGGACCAAGGAGUCUAACAUCUAUGCGAGUGUUUGGGUGUCAAACCCGUGCGCGUAAUGAAAGUGAACGGAGGUGGGAACCGCAAGGUGCACCAUCGACCGAUCCUGAUGUCUUCGGAAGGAUUUGAGUAAGAGCAUAGCUGUUGGGACCCGAAAGAUGGUGAACUAUGCGUGAAUAGGGUGAAGCCAGAGGAAACUCUGGUGGAGGCUCGCAGCGGUUCUGACGUGCAA
rnacentral:rRNA from 1 species